rnacentral:rRNA from 1 species
UGACGUUAGCGGCGGACGGGUGAGUAACACGUGGAUAACCUACCUAUAAGACUGGUAUAACUUCGGGAAACCGGAGCUAAUACCGGAUAAUAUAUUGAACCGCAUGGUUCAAUAGUGAAAGACGGUUUUGCUGUCACUUAUAGAUGGAUCCGCGCCGCAUUAGCUAGUUGGUAAGGUAACGGCUUACCAAGGCAACGAUGCGUAGCCGACCUGAGAGGGUGAUCGGCCACACUGGAACUGAGACACGGUCCAGACUCCUACGGGAGGCAGCAGUAGGGAAUCUUCCGCAAUGGGCGAAAGCUUGACGGAGCAACGCCGCGUGAGUGAUGAAGGUCUUCGGAUCGUAAAACUCCGUUAUUAGGGAAGAACAAAUGUGUAAGUAACUAUGCACGUCUUGACGGUACCUAAUCAGAAAGCCACGGCUAACUACGUGCCAGCAGCCGCGGUAAUACGUAGGUGGCAAGCGUUAUCCGGAAUUAUUGGGCGUAAAGCGCGCGUAGGCGGUUUUUUAAGUCUGAUGUGAAAGCCCACGGCUCAACCGUGGAGGGUCAUUGGAAACUGGAAAACUUGAGCGCAGAAGAGGAAAGUGGAAUUCCAUGUGUAGCGGUGAAAUGCGCAGAGAUAUGGAGGAACACCAGUGGCGAAGGCGACUUUCUGGUCUGUAACUGACGCUGAUGUGCGAAAGCGUGGGGAUCAAACAGGAUUAGAUACCCCUGGUAGUCCACGCCGUAAACGAUGAGUGCUAAGUGUUAGGGGGUUUCCGCCCCUUAGUGCUGCAGCUAACGCAUUAAGCACUCCGCCUGGGGAGUACGACCGCAAGGUUG